GGGGACCGGCCUCCGCCGCGGGCUCUGCCCGCUCGCCUGCUCGCCUGGUGGGGGAGAGGGGAGCGGGGCCGACACAGGACUGCAGUUGACAGCAGAUAACUGAAAGCUCGGAAAGCGAAACCGUGGAUAAGCAGGGGAACUGUGGCAUCCCAUUUAAAAUUGCUUCUGAAGAGAAGCAUGAGGUUACAUCUGUAAUCUCCCUGCAGCAGAGUCAACUGCAUAAGAAACCAAAAGACACACCUGCUCCAUGCCAGGUCUGUUCUGAAAAAUUGAGAAGAUGAUCUAUCUUCACUUCAAAAAGAAAUCUCUAAGGAGCAAGUGGACACAGCCUGCCUCCCAUAAGCUGUCUGGCUCACUCAUUUUAUUCCUGGAAAUCAGUACAUCAUAGGUGCGGAACACUGGCGGCUUUCUUCUGCUGGGUCAGCAGAGCCCAAAGACAAGGGGAUGCCAUGGAACUGGAAUGGAACAUCAUGAGGGAUGUUAACAUCUGAGCUGGCAUCUCGGGAGGAGUGACCUGUUCUACAUUCAACAUUCACAUGCGUCUGGUUUUCAGUCCACAUGACCCAGAGGGCAGCAAUGCCAGAAAUUACUGUCACCAUCACACAAUGUUUUCUGAACCUCCACCCUGUGGGCUGUGUCCUCUUCAACUCUCGGCUCAGAUAUUCACCUGCUCCAUAUGGGCCUUGCUGCCCUGAUUUUCAAGCUAUCUAUGGAAAAACUGUCCCUUUGGCUGAAUGUCCUUCACGUGCCCCUAUAGAGAGCAAUGCUUUCACAAUCCUCUCAACAUGGACUGCAGGCACUUUCCCUGUGCAAAAUGCACUCAGCAAAAUGCAUUCAGACGCAUGCAACUGCAGAUGCUGCUGGGGGUUCCCAGAGCCAGCGAAGUCCAUCCCAGGAGCUGGUUCGUAAUUAACUCUUCCCCAUCUCCAAAGAGGUCUUCUUACAGCAUUAACCAAAUGGUCUCAAUGUAGAAAUUCAGGUAUCACAGGUCCCCUGGCCUCUCCAGAUAUGUCUCCAAAGGGUAGAAUGAGUUGAAUUUUCCAAACCCUCAAGGUGGAUGUCAGGGUAGGGUGGAAUACAAAAUUUGAAUGGGCUGGCUCAAAGCUGAAAGCAAUAGUGAAAACAAAUGGAGAACUCACCACCAUUUCCUGGACAUGAAACAUCUCUGCACCACCAGAUGAGAGUCGAUUAGGGAAAGAGAUGCUGACAGAUGACCCUGGAAGGGUGCUUGGGCCAGUGUUGUAGACCUGUGGGUGUGGAACACACACAGCAAGUCUCAGUGGAAAAUAGCAGACCUCCAUUUCCUGUCAUGCAAUAUAUAUUCUAAGAUUCUUUGAAAUCACAUACAGAAACUCUAAGGUUCGGAUCUGGAAGGUCACAACUUGAAGUAAAGUGAACUACUGAAUGACGGGAAAUUUCAACAAAAUAGAAACACUUCUAACAUGCAUCUAAAAAUCUCAAACUUUGAAACUACCAUAUUCUCUUUCAGCAUUUUGUCUUCUUCCUGCUAAAACUUUUCUUUUUACAUGCAUAGGAAUUUACUCAUAGACUAUUACACUUGGUGAGAACUCAGACAUCAUAAUCUAGUCCAGUGGUUCUCAAAUUUCAGCAAAACAUCAGAACCAUCUGAGGGGCUUGUUAAAACACAUUUUGGUGGGGGGGUAUGGAGUGGGGGUCAUGCCGAGUUUCUGACUCAGUAGGUCUAGGGUGGGGCUGGCAGAUUCAUAUUUAUAACAUGGUCCCAGGAGAUGCUGCUGCUGCUGGUCCAGGAACCACCACUUGAGACCCACAGAUCUGGUCCAACCUCUUUCCUUUGCCAGUUUGAGGUAACUGAGGCCCUCAAGGACCAAGUGGGUCAUCCCAAAACCAAGCGAUCGAAUAUACAGAAAGGGCUGUUUUUACUACAUGAGCCAGCUGAUUUGGUUUCCAGGCAAUCUGCAGCUCAUCACUUGCACAACUGUACCCCUCUUCUGUCUCAGCAUUUGGUUCUAUAAAACUUUGCCUCUCUUGUUUUCCCUAGCAUUUCUCCAUUUUCUGUCUUCAGAAGUCAAUCAUUUCCUGAGAAAUGAGGAAAAAGAUGGAGGUCACAGAGACCAGUAAGAGCAAGGAGGGAGAGGAAAAAGCUGAACAUGAAACUCGAGGAAGAAACAGAAUAUGCAGAGGAAUAAAAAAAGUGAGUAGAUCUCUAGAGACAGAAAGUAGAUUAGCGGUUGCCUAGGGCUGGGGAGCAGGAAGAAUAGGGAGUAGGACAGGCAGCAUGACAGGCCCCCCAAAGAUGUCCAUGUCCUCAUCUGUGGAACCUGUGAAUGUUAUGUGGCCAGGGGGAAUUAAGGUUGCUAAUCAAGCGACCUCAAAAUAAAGAGGGUAUCUUGAAUUAUCCAGGUGAGCACAUUGUACUCACAAGAGUCCUUAUAUAGGGAAGAGGCAGAAGUCAGAUCAGAAAGAGAACAUCCUAAGACUUGACCAGCCAUUGCUGGCUUUGAAGAUGGAAGGGGGCCAUGAGCCAAAGAAUGCAGGCAGCCCUUAGAGGCUGGCAAAGGCAAGAAGUGGAUUUUCCCCUGGUGCCUCUGGCAAGAACACAGGCCCUGAUACUUUGGUUUUAGCCCAGCGGGGCCCAUUUUGGACUUCUGUUCUUCAGAACUGUAAGAUAACAAAUUUGUGUUGUUUUAAGCCACAAAUGUUGUAGUAAUUUGUUACAGCAGCAAUAAGAAAUUAAUACAAGAAGCUAUGUCAAUGGGUUAAGGAUUUUUCUUUUUUCUUUUUUUUUUUAAACAGUCCAGAGGUCUUUCAUUUUUUAGACACCUAUUAUGCCAUGAAUUCAUAGGGAAC
ensembl:lncRNA ITGA9-AS1 ITGA9 antisense RNA 1